ensembl:lncRNA
GUUGUCUUUUUCUCUAGAAUAGAGCACGUCCCUUUUGUCAGCUUUGUCACCCAAGUGUAAAUCCUAUAGCAUCUGGGAUGAAUAAAUCAGUGAUGUUUCUAGAUUUCAGCAGGUGUGUCUGAGAGCAAGAGUGCAGGCAGAAACUGACUGAAAUGGAGGAAACCAAAGCAGUGCUUACAGGCAGGCCAUUCUACUACCACUGAUCCAAGGACCACUGGUGUGGAACCACUGUUUUGUCCGUGGUCCCAAGACAAGAGGCAGAGGGGAAAAAAUGAAGCACAGGAGGUCCUGUCUGAAAGCAUCAGGAAGUAUUUCUGUGCUGAGGGUGACCAAGCCCUAGAGCAUGUUGCUCAGAGAAGCUGCAGAGCCCUCCUGCAUUCUUGAGGAUACUCAAAAGUCACUGCAAGAUGAAGACAGCCACUGACCUCCAAAUCAAUCGGUUUUGUAGUUUACAAACAUAUUUUACAGUACUUGUAGCCAGAUUCUUUGUGGGUUGUCAUCUUUUGUUUCCAACUAAUACCGAACAACUCCUAGGUUCUCUUUCCUAAAUGUAUGUUGAUCUGCUGCAACUUCUUUUGCCAGUCUCUGCCUUAUUUGGUACCUUGUAAAAGGAAAUAGCAAUUCUCACAUCUUAGGAGGAUGGCUAAGAGUUCUCUGUCUGUCUAGAAGACUGCAUGUUCCUCAUGGUUUUUGUCCUACCAGGGAGCCACAUGUUGCAAAAGAGAAUGAUAGCAUGGGAUUGAGGAGGUAACUUGCUGAACCACUCCCAAGGAAACUGAUGGUACAAUAAAAGCAAAUUGAACCUAAUUCUUAGAUGCAAAUCUGAUGCUCUUGAUACCUUGCCAUUUGCCUCAAAGCUAUUUUUUUCUCCUUUAAGUUUGGAAGCGGAAGGGUCCAAAUCCCAAGAUACUAUUAUUAUCAUCUCAGAUAAUCUGCGAAGUAGGAGCACAGCAAUUAUUUUCCCAGGAAAUUUACUGCUAAGGGAAUUUAACAAUUGUACAAAUUGCUGCCUAAUGGUGAUGCAUAAAAAAAGGAUCAUGUUUCAUAAGAUGAACAACAUACUCUCCCUUUCUUCCACCCUUCUACUGAUAUACUGAAGUUACAAAAAAUCGGAGGGCAGUAGUGCAACCACUAAUGCUGAAAUUGCCAGGCUGGUGUCUAAUGUAAAUUGAACUUUGAUGAUUUAGUGUUACCCAACAUACCUCUCCUCAUUGUUCAUUUUAUGCAGACUGAUAAAAAUCCUUCCAGGUAGCAAUGGCCUCAUGCCCUGUAUAAGCACAGAAAAUAAUGUCAUCGCAAGCCUUAAUGAUGAAGGUAGUUAUAGGACAAAGGCCCCUGCAGCAAGUUGGGUAUUGGGUCAUUGUUCCAGCUAAUGUCAUGAUGCCAUUUCUCACUAUUUUUAGAACUGUUUUCUUUGUACAGCAAAUUUAUCAUGUAGUUACUUAAAAAUACAGAAGAUCUUGUCUUCUCUGGACUUAGUAGCAAAAGAUUGUCUUCCUCUGACUUCUGCAAAUUAGACAAUCCCCUAAAAGCUGCAGAGAUUGAUUAAAACUUAAACUUAAAACCUAAAUUUAAGCUUAGAAAAAAUGAGUAUCUCAACCCAAUCUGCUGUUAGCACUUGGUGUAAUGACAGACUAAGCACAAAGACCUUACAGAAAAAUUUGCAGGAAUCCAAGUUAGCCACUCACAGUUCCAGAAGUAAUUCAGGGAUUCAGUAAAUCAGCACAAACCUAGUUCCUACAUUGCAUAUAUGUUAGCACAGAUCCAAAUUUCUCUACAUUUUGGGGAAAGAAAUGUGAAACAGUGGAUGAGGAACAUUCCAUCCUUUCAUGUUAAAACUUUGUUCCAUGUCAUAUAGCCAAGCCCUUUUAUUAUUAUCUACUUUGUAUAUUAUGGUUGCCGCAGAUACCUUAUCAAAAAUUGAAACUCUGAUUUUGGUUGUCCUAUAAGCACAGAAGAUGCAACCUGUAAACUCAGAAUUUAAGGAUUUAGGAAGCAAGACAGACAGAGACCAGUUCUCAUUCCCAUGUUACAGGCAGGGAAAUAGGACAUAGGAAGAUUAAAUGACUAGCUCACGGUCAGAAAACGAGUUUCUAGCAAAGGUAGGGUCUCAGCAAUAUUUUCCAAAAUCUCCGCCCAACACUUUAGGGAUCCAUUCAUG